ensembl:snRNA U6 U6 spliceosomal RNA
GUGCUCACUUUGGCAGCACAUAUACUAAAAUUGUAAUAAUACAGAGAUCAGCAUGGCCCUUGCACAAGACGGCAUGCAAAUUCAUGAAGCGUUCCAUAUUUUU